rnacentral:rRNA from 1 species
GGAUUAGAUACCCUGGUAGUCCACGCCGUAAACGAUGUCUACUAGCCGUUGGGACCCUUGAGGUCUUAGUGGCGCAGCUAACGCACUAAGUAGACCGCCUGGGGAGUACGGUCGCAAGAUUAAAACUCAAAUGAAUUGACGGGGGCCCGCACAAGCGGUGGAGCAUGUGGUUUAAUUCGAAGCAACGCGAAGAACCUUACCUACUCUUGACAUCCAGAGAACUUUCCAGAGAUGGAUUGGUGCCUUCGGGAACUCUGAGACAGGUGCUGCAUGGCUGUCGUCAGCUCGUGCUG